AUAUUCGAUGCGGCGGCGAUGCGAUGACCACAACCAAUGUAAUCGACUGCGUCGCAAAAUUCUGUUCAAAAUUCACACGCUUUUGACACGGUACCGCAAUACAGAACGAACAUACUAUAAUAAUGUAUUCAAUGGAUACUGUCAUACUAUCACGUUUAACCGAUUCAAUAUGGCUGAAAAUGAAAAAUUAAAAUGAAAAAAGUAAAAUUUAAAUGUAUAAAGCAAGCCCAUUGUGAAAAUAUCAUAAAGUAUAAACGCUUUAAAUUGUAAUAAGAAUAACGCAAGUACGUUUGUAUAUACGCU